AUCGCUUCUCGGCCUUUUGGCUAAGAUCAAGUGUAGUAUCUGUUCUUAUCAGUUUAAAGAUGUAACUCGUGCAAUAAAACAAAAUAAUUUAUAUCUGUGACAUUUGGACUGUAUGAGAGCCCUAAAAAUAGUUCAUCAUUUUAAUUACUAAUGGUGCUGUAUCUAUC
rnacentral:snRNA from 1 species